UUGAAGCGUGGACGCCAGUCUGCGUGGAGCCAACCUUGAAAUACCACCCUUUAAUGUUUGAUGUUCUAACGUAGGCCCCUGACCGGGGUUGCGGACAGUGUCUGGUGGGUAGUUUGACUGGGGCGGUCUCCUCCCAAAGAGUAACGGAGGAGCACGAAGGUUAGCUAAUCCUGGUCGGACAUCAGGAGGUUAGUGCAAUGGCAUAAGCUAGCUUGACUGCGAGCGUGACGGCGCGAGCAGGUGCGAAAGCAGGUCAUAGUGAUCCGGUGGUUCUGAAUGGAAGGGCCAUCGCUCAACGGAUAAAAGGUACUCCGGGGAUAACAGGCUGAUACCGCCCAAGAGUUCAUAUCGACGGCGGUGUUUGGCACCUCGAUGUCGGCUCAUCACAUCCUGGGGCUGAAGUAGGUCCCAAGGGUAUGGCUGUUCGCCAUUUAAAGUGGUACGCGAGCUGGGUUUAGAACGUCGUGAGACAGUUCGGUCCCUAUCUGCCGUGGGCGCUGGAGAAUUGAGGGGGGCUGCUCCUAGUACGAGAGGACCGGAGUGGACGCAUCACUGGUGUUCGGGUUGUCAUGCCAAUGGCACUGCCCGGUAGCUAAAUGCGGAAGAGAUAAGUGCUGAAAGCAUCUAAGCACGAAACUUGCCCCGAGAUGAGUUCUCCCUGAGACUUUAAGUCUCCUGAAGGAACGUUAAAGACGAUGACGUUGAUAGGCCGGGUGUGUAAGCGCAGCGAUGCGUUGAGCUAACCGGUACUAAUGAACCGUGAGGCUUAACCUU
rnacentral:rRNA from 1 species